rnacentral:rRNA from 1 species
UGAGGAAUUUUGCGCAAUGGGGGAAACCCUGACGCAGCGACGCCGCGUGGAGGAAGACGGCCUUCGGGUUGUAAACUCCUGUCAGAGGUGAAGAAUGCCCGCAAGGGCUUGACGGUAACCUCAGAGGAAGCCCCGGCUAACUACGUGCCAGCAGCCGCGGUAAUACGUAGGGGGCGAGCGUUGCUCGGAAUUACUGGGCGUAAAGGGAGUGCAGGCGGCCGGUUAAGUCAAAGAUGAAAUCCCGAGGCUUAACUUCGGAAUGGUCUUUGAUACUGAUCGGCUUGAGGCUGGUUGAGGAGAGCGGAAUUCCCGGUGGAGCGGUGAAAUGCGUAGAUAUCGGGAGGAACACCAGAGGCGAAGGCGGCUCUCUAAACUAGUCCUGACGCUGAGACUCGAAAGCUAGGGGAGCAAACGGG